UUAUAAUUAAACAUUAACACUUUUAAUAACUAUUUGAAUCAGCCCAAUCUAAAAAUCUCUUAUUGUAUUUCUUCAACAGGCGUUUCAAAUAUUGGUACUUGUGGUGCCAGAAAUCAUGUUUUACUUUGCCCCUUGUGGACCUAAUUGUUUUGCUGUUGAAUGAAUGAAGGCCAAAAUGAAGAAGGAAGAAACGACAUGUCUGUAAUGUGUGCAGAAUGAAUUCUUCUUGCCUAGAAGAUUUUUGUCUCAGAGGUAAAAACUCUCUCUCUCUAACUCUAAUCUAUGUCUCUUUUCUCUGCAUUGUACUAUCUAAUGCCUGUAGAGGUGAUAAUUCAUCCUCCCUGCACAAGCAGGCUCACCAAAGAGCAAAUUUCUUACCAUUUUGCUCCUGUUCUUUGAAUUCUCCUUAAAACAGUGUAACCCCCACUAAAAUAGUGACCCCCAUUUAGGAUCCAAAUGAAAAAAUAUAAAAAAUAAUAAAAAGGUAGCUUCACAUUGAUUCAAUUUCAAAAACUUGACCUACAAAAUAGCAUAAUUAGCCAUUUGGAAUUAUAUUCUUAUUUUUACCUUUUAUUACAGUACAGAAAGAGUCACUAUAAAUGCUCAAAGUAGCACUUACCAGAGAGUAUAUAACCUUAAAUACUUAAUUUAAAAGUUCUAUUUCCAUUUACAGAAGAUAUUAGUGUAGUCAGUAACUUUUAACGGGUUUGUUAAUGGUUCACUCCUUUCAUUCAUCAUCAGAAUAAAGUAAUUCUAGAAGAUGUGCUUUAUUAAUUUAAGUGAAGAAAUGCACUUAUUCAGCUGUAACAGGCCACUUGCAAGUGAUAUUUGCUUUUUGGAGUAAAUUUCUGGUAUUCAGUGGUUGUAAUGGUGUUACUAAUGGAAUAAUAACUAGGUGAGUGCCAUUAGCACACCUUGGAUGGCAGGAUGCUCUUCUGGCAAGGUUUAGGAAUUGUAUUCUCUUGGAUGAGCCUGCUUGAACAGGGAGGUUGGACCAGAUUUCCCACUGUGCUCCCUUCCAACUGACUGAUUCUGUAAUUCUGUGAAUUAUUUUCAUGCCUUGCUUAGAGGACCUGCACUUUGAAGGAAGUCUUGAGUAUAAGAAGAAGACAUUGCUGUUGCAACAUAUGAUUUCAUAAAAAUUACUCUCCCUGCUAUUGGACAGCUCUUUAUUGUUGAGAUUUAACUGCUAUGAAAUGACCUUCUUAAUAAACUGAUUGAAGGCUAUGUAUGCAAAAUUCUAACAUCAAAUGAUGUAUUUUUAAAGAGUUUUAUUUAAGGUAGAGAGAGAACCUCUCUGAGAUAUUGUGAUCCUUUACAACAAAUAACAAAUCCCAGCCUAUCAACUCUUAAACCCGCUUCUUAGGGGCUGGUGCUGGUGCAGGAUGUUUGUGGUUAUUUAUUUAUUUUUAAAGUUGCACCUUGGUGUUUAUUUUCAAGACAAUUAAUUCACACACAGGUCUCUCUGAACAAUGUUUCUGUUUCAAUAUUGAAAUUAAAAAGUCUGAUCAUCUUGGGGGCACCAUGUUUUGAUCCUACUCUCUGUUGGUUUAACUCAGAAAAAAGAUGAUUUUCUCCCUUAAUUGUAUAUCAUGGAGAAGUUUUAGUCUUUCAUCUUCAUAUGUUAGUGCUAUCAAUAGAAAAGUGAUGUCACAGAAGUUCAUAUUAGUGGCUGUUGUUUUAUGUGAAAAUGUUUCAGGCCUUUUUUAACCCCUUCUGAUAUGUUUGACAUGUAGUUCUCUCUAUGGUUUCUCUUAAAAAAAAUGAGUAUGCCAGCAUGGAUUUCUCACUUGUAAGAAAAAGUGCUUUCUAAUUCUAAUUCCUAAUGCCUAAAAGUGUUUUCUAAUUCUAAUUCUAAUUCUAAUUCUAAUUCUAAUUCUAAUUCUAAUUCUAAUUCCUUCUAAUAAUUUUCUUUUAUCUGGAGCAGAUUUUCCUUUAUCCUCUAAGCAUCUGCUGGUUAUGAAAAUAGUUUCAUUUUAUACUACAGAAGUCAAGUGUCUCUUUUAAAAAUUAUUUUUUCUUCUAUAUGAAUGAAGUUUUUUGAUUUUUUUAAAUCACUUUUUUUUUUUUUUUCAUAGGGAAAUGUUUCUUAUUUUUCUGCUGACAGUUUUCAGUGAAAUCUGUGUAUCUACUAUAUUUUUAUUGUAUGUUUGAAUAAUUUCCUGUAUUUUAAAUCUAGGAUACUAAAUACAUUUUCAGGUAAACCACAAGAAUUAUGAUGCAGGUUUUUUUCCCUGUUCACCUCAACAUCAUCUGUUAGGAAAAAUUUACCACUGUGUGGAAGUUUAAGAAGUCCUCAACAACUAGGAGACCAAAAUAAUGAGUUUUAUUGGCAGUACACACAUGGCUCAACCACUCUGCAACCAAUGCAGAGUGGAUUUGCAUGAGGUUCCAUUGUAGCUGAACCAACUGCACACAAUGUCAGUUUAAUAAGCAAAUAUGAUUAAAACAAACUUAUGGAAACCUUAGAAGAAAUUGUCUGUGUUGGAAUUGCUUUGUAAUAGGGAGAUGACAAUAGGUGCUACAGAGUUUAGUUCAUUCUAUUUUGAAAUUACAUGACACAGGAGAGUCUGCAGGAAGAAUUUAAAACAUCUCUGCCCAGCUCUUCUCAGAGAAUCCUUGAUAGGAAAAGAUCAAGGGUCAGAAGUUGCAACAAAGAAAAACUGAUUUUACCUAAGGAAGAUAUUUUGGCAGAGUUAGUGACAAGCACUCAGAAUGCCCAGAGAACAUGUGACAUGUCAAAAUCAUGCUGGAAAAUGCUUGAUCAAUGUGAUUUAACUUUAAAGUUAACUCAGCACAGAGCAGAAGUUGUGAAUAGAUAAUCUCCCGGAGUUCCUUGCAACCCAAGUGAGUUUCUUCUGUGUUUUUGUGUUUCUACAAGCAUUACUGUGCAUUUAUUGAAUUGGAGUGUCUCUGUGUAAACUUUGGUAAUCUUCCUGAUAUUCCUGAUGCUCAUAUUCAAUUAUUUUCUUAAUUCUCUUUCUGAGAACUUGGGAAUGUUGUUUCAGUUUGCCUCAACUGCACCCCUAAAAUAAAAUAGGGGGAGGGAGUUUUAAAAACUUAGAA